GGCCGCAUAGCUCAAUGGAGAGAGCGCCGGUCUACGAAACCGGGUCAUGUGCAGGUUCGACUCCUGCUGCGGCUAC
rnacentral:tRNA from 1 species